CACAAUCAUCCGACCUCAACCCAAUUGAGAUGGUUUGAGAUGAGUUGGACCGCAGAGUGAAGCUAAGUCCUCUCCUGCUCCCUGAUUUAAGAGGCGAUGACUACUCCACUCCACUACCAUUGUCAACUCUCUCCUGACGUUAACUGAAGCCAUGUCUCAUGUGUCCGCUCAUCCACCGGCACAUUGAAUGUUCUGCCCUGAGCACUGAGUACCCCUAUCAAUUUUCUCUCAUUACUUCAAAUCCUGUCCUGCACUGAAGUCAAGACUCUGAACAUCUCAACUCAUGCAUCAUACCCUCAUUCAAUCACUUUUGUGAUCCCUUCCCAACACUGUGGACUGAGUCAGACCUGCAUGGGACGCCAGGCGAUAAUGAGCCGUGAGGGCUUUGGACACUGGAGCGCUCUGAUCCAACAUCAGCCUUUGGAGUGAUUCAAGAGGACCUGACCACAUUCUCACUAUAUCAGAGGGCUAGCACUCAGCAUCCUCUCUGUCUGUCUGUCUGUCUGUCUGUCUGUCUGUCUGUCUGUCUGUCUGUCUGUCUGUCUGUC
ensembl:lncRNA